rnacentral:rRNA from 1 species
CCCUUAGAUGUUCUGGGCCGCACGCGCGCUACACUGAUGCAUUCAACGAGUUUCUUCCUGGUCCGAGAGGAAUGGGUAACCUUUUGAAAGUGCAUCGUGAUAGGGAUAGACUAUUGCAAUUAUUGGUCUUCAACGAGGAAUUCCUAGUAGACGUAGUUCAUCAGACUGCAUCGAUUACGUCCCUGCCCUUUGUACACACCGCCCGUCGCUCCUACCGAUUGAAUGAUCCGGUGAGUUUUUUGGACUGUGGCAACGGUCUUGGUUCGCCAAACUGAUGCCGCGGGAAGAUACGCAAACCUUAUCAUUUAGAGGAAGGAGAAGUCGUAACA